GCAGAUGCCGAAGAGGGAAUGAUUUAACAGGGCUGCUCCCGAUAGAGCCGACAACGGGAACCAACCAGGAAUCCACAGGAUCCAGAGCACGCAAUGGUACCAGGAGUCGUGGGAAAGAUUGACGAACGGAGCGUAGAUCGUGAGGAAAGUAAGAAAUCCGGAUUCUCAGCUUAACGAGGCGACCUCCACGGGUACCCCGUCUCCUGCGUCGCUUCCGCAUAUCUGGUGGCAGUGGUAGGGGAUGGCAGCGCAAUGGUACUGCUUCCAGGUGGUAUAGAGGAAGUCCUUGUUGCCCAGCCCUGCCCUAGGGUGUGAUGUUCCUGCCCUCAGUCCAGCCAGAACAGCUUAUCUACCAUUAGCUCAUUAUAUCCUGUAGAUAAAGUUCUGUCCUGGUGUGUUCCUUGGCUGGACUCAAGUCAGAAGCAAGGCUCCCUUUGUUCACCUGCAAAGGACGGAUUUCCCAUAAACCCAAGCUGAUCUCAUUCAGACUCACCCAGGAAUCUCACACGUCUUCUCACUCUCCACCAGCCCUGACACCCGAAGCCUUUGCCUGCCUCCCCCGCCUGCAAAUCACAAGGGAAUCACAAUUCUCUGGUGGUAUCCUCCCUCGUCCCUGUGCUUAAAGAAAACUUAUUUUAACGCGUGCCUCUGUCUGAGAAUCCUGUCAAAAUAAAAGCUCC
ensembl:lncRNA